GACGAACGCUGGCGGCGUGCCUAAUACAUGCAAGUUGAGCGCUGAAGGUUGGUACUUGUACCAACUGGAUGAGCAGCGAACGGGUGAGUAACGCGUGGGGAAUCUGCCUUUGAGCGGGGGACAACAUUUGGAAACGAAUGCUAAUACCGCAUAAAAACUUUAAACACAAGUUUUAAGUUUGAAAGAUGCAAUUGCAUCACUCAAAGAUGAUCCCGCGUUGUAUUAGCUAGUUGGUGAGGUAAAGGCUCACCAAGGCGAUGAUACAUAGCCGACCUGAGAGGGUGAUCGGCCACAUUGGGACUGAGACACGGCCCAAACUCCUACGGGAGGCAGCAGUAGGGAAUCUUCGGCAACGGACGAAAGUCUGGCCGAGCAACGCCGCGUGAGUGAAGAAGGUUUUCGGAUCGUAAAACUCUGUUGGUAGAGAAGAACGUUGGUGAGAGUGGAAAGCUCAUCAAGUGACGGUAACUACCCAGAAAGGGACGGCUAACUACGUG
rnacentral:rRNA from 1 species